UACGUAGGGUGCGAGCGUUAAUCGGAAUUACUGGGCGUAAAGCGAGUGUAGGCGGUUUCCUAAGUCAGGUGUGAAAGCCCCGGGCUCAACCCGGGAAGUGCACUUGAAACUGGGAGGCUAGAGUAUCGGAGAGGUUGGUGGAAUUCUCGGUGUAGAGGUGAAAUUCGUAGAUAUCGAGAGGAACACCGGUGGCGAAGGCGGCCAACUGGACGAAUACUGACGCUGAGACUCGAAAGCGUGGGGAGCAAACAGG
rnacentral:rRNA from 1 species